ensembl:lncRNA
CUAAAAAUAGAUGCAGAAUUAUUUUUUAUAGUCUCAAUAAAAAAUGUUUACUAAACUUGGGCUAUUGUUGUUUACUUAGAAAAUAUAAUUUUUAAAAUCAACCCUUUCACGCAUAAGUUACAAAUAUUUUAACUGACCCCUUGUUUCCAUGGCGACGCGUCAUGAUUGUCACGUGACACACCGCGGCCACAAUAACUAACAGAUGUAUCGCUAUUCGUUUUAUUUCGUUUUCAUUUUUUAUUAACAAAUAUUCACAAACAUUGACACGCUUACCAUGUCAACUAUUUGAUAUUCCGAUUCUUCGUUUAAAAACCUUUAUAAAUUAUCUUGAUCUAACGAGAUGAGCGCUGCAGUUCAGAGUCCUGUCAGCCGGAUUUAACGUUACAGCCAAACUGUCUCUGGUACAGCACUUGAAUUCCCCAGUUUCUCCCGAAAUACAUGAAACAGGAACAUGCCCCCAAAGCUGCAGGGUUCCCCACGGAGCCAACCUUUACGCUGCUGAAGUCAGAGGUCGUCCGUCCCAGAGGGAAACAGUGGCGACACCCCAGUGCCUGAGGAGACAGAGGCGGUCAGUAGACUAAUGGGGUCUGACUUCAUCAUUAAGAAGGGUUGUCUUUCACUGAUGCCUCCCAGUUGUUUUGGGAUAUGGAUCUCAUGUGCACCUGUCUGAACCGACACUAUUUACCAUUACAACAGAUUUUGCCAUUAACAAGUCCAUCCAAGUCUAAAGGGGAACAACUGUUUCUAAGACAGAUUGACAGCAACUUUGGUGAUGUGUAGGAGGAUUCUUGUAAAGAAAAGGUUAGCAUGAAAUGGAUGGAUGAAUGUGUUGAUAUAUGAUCUGAUGAAUGCUGUAACCUUGCCAUGUCUGUUUUCUGACACAACCUCUGCUGGAAAGGGUUAAGGAGUCUCUUCCUUUGUUUUCUCUGACUGAUUAAUGGGGCAAGGCUGCUUGUGUUUGUAACACAUGCAUUUGGCUACUCAUGCCAUAGUCUUUAAAGAUGCCUCUGCAUUUAGCAGGCUUGCCCAGGCUUUGGAAAAUGAUACAUAGAUUAAACACACAUUUUUUUCUAGCAAGAAAAACACUCUCAAGCCCCUAUAGUUGGAGGAGGAAUCAAAACUAACAUAACAGUGAGUGCGCUUCAAAAAAAAAAAAAAAAAAGCCUUGUCUUCCUCCAAACCCUGGAGAAUGCAGACAUAUUUAUGAACAGCUGCUCUUUGAAUCAGAUACAAGUGAAAAAUGAAUUGAACUCAGUUUGCUUUGUGCUGUUUUAUUCUUGGAACAGAUGAUUGGGAGUGUGGGGGACUUUGCCAAGACUACACAAACACAGAUUCAUAUCCUUCAUGCACUCUAUAACUUUGUGCUUGUGGAAGAGAACCAAAUGAGGAUCAAACAUGUAAAAACAAAAAAUAAGUAGGCGUAAAGCAAUAGUGCAAGUUUUUGCACUGUUGUAAGAUGAAGAAAACAGCAAUGAUAUACUUUUUAUAAACUUUAAACAGUAUUUUUUCUUUUUUAAACAAACAAACAAAAAUAUUUCCAUGUGUAUCCUUUUUGCAUUUAUAUGCUGUGGUCUCUUCAAACUGUGAUGUGGUCUCAUUAGCAAAUUUUUUUGUGAUAUUUUGUGGCCAUUGGUUGUGUAGCGAAGAAUCGAGUGACUUUAAUCCAAGCAGCUUUCUGUUAGUCAGUGCAAGAAAUAUGUGUAACACUGUUGCAAAAUCUGUGUGAGGAAAUCUUUCUCACUCACGCAGAAUUCCUGAACUUAUCAAUACAAAUUGAAAUGACUAAAUUUUGACUAUGAAAAAAAUCACUGAACAAUGCACGCAAAUGUUUUCAAAACGUCCUUAUAUCUUAAAAUGAAAUAGUGGCUCAAGUCAAACGAGCCCUCCUCUAAGUCAAGAAAUAGCUCCCAUCCCUCCAUUGGUGUCUAUGUAAUCUCCCCCUAUGUUUUCCAUUGUUUGUCCAGUUUUCGUUUUAUUUAAGUCUGAUUGCUUAACCUUAAGUAUGAGCAGUAGUAAGGCUUGCAUUAACAACCACCACUAAGUAUACUUUCGUAUUCGUUCUUUCUGAGCUGAACAAAGACCGUAGGGUCUAUGUCUUUCUUUGUUUAGCUGUAUAAAUCUUUCAGAGAAAUAAAACUCUGCGAGGCUCCUUCUCUGAUUUACGUGCAACAACAUUGGCUUGCACUUCAUUCAGUGUUUUCUCAGAGCGCUGAACCUUUUCAGCCGAGUGCAGCACGUUUGAUGUAAGUGUGGCAGACAGUCACUCCCCGUUCCUCUCUGCUCAUGUUUUACGAGCUCUGACUAUGAAACCAAAGGCUGGACUGCCCAAUAGGAAACAGUCUCCCAAUGGGAUCAUAGAUGGCCUUGAAUGAGAGUAGUGGAAGAGACUAAGUCUUUUUCUGACAUGGUAUACAUGACACUAAAAAAUGAAUCUGGAGGUGUGUAUGUACGUACAUGUAUUUCUCUGAAUUUUUUUCAUGUGCUUGGUGAGGAAUAGCAUUUUUU